AAACUGUAGGUACCUUUUGUAUAAUGGGUUAGCAAGUUCAUAAUAUUAGCAAGAUUUUAAAAAUAAAAUCAUAAUGAAAAUAUUAAAUAUUUAUAAUAUUAUAAAUAUAAGUUAAUAUUAUGAGACCCGAUAGUGUGUGAUCUUACUAUGUGCAAGUAUUAUAAUACUUUUAAUAAAAUAUUUAUAUAUUUUAAAGAGGGAUAAUAUUAUAAUGACUGAACUGGUUGGUGUUGCAAUACCAUCAGAGGACAUGUGGUAAGCCGAGAAAGUCAAAUCUGACACACAGGUAGCUGGUUUGCUGCGAAACAUAUAUUCGUAUGGUCUAUAUAUAAUAUCUUAGUAGGUAUAGCUCUUAGUAUUUAAAGUAUAUAAAAUAUAUAUAUUUUAAUACAGGGAAGAUAUAAUCUUUUACUGACAAUACUUAAUCUCAUAAUAAUUAAUUGAUAAUUUAUAUAGAAUCAGACUAUUAGUGAUAAGGUUAAUAGUCAAAAGGGAAACAGCCCAAAACAAAUAAUAAAUUUAUUAUUAAAUAAAUUUUAUAAAGGUUCUUAAUUUAUAUAUAAAAUAUUAAUAUAUUUUAAUUAAUAAGUGGACAAAAAAUAUAUAAUUUAUUAUACAAUUAGUUGGUAGGUUUGAUAGUAACCAUCCUUUAAUAAUAGUGUAACAACAUACUAAUUUAUAUCAAAAUAUUUGAUAUAUAUAAAAUAUUAUAUUUAUUUUAUAUAAAUAGAUUAUAUAUUGACAAUGUAACGGACCUAAUUUAUAAACCUAUAAUUUGUCAUAAUAUAUAUAUAUUAAAUAUAUAUAUUUGGGUAGCAGCAUAAUCAAUGAAUUAUUGUAUAUUAUAUAAGUACAAAUAUAAUAACUAAAUUAAAAAAAUUUAAUAUAAUUGAUCAAAGAAUGCUAACAUGAGUAACGAAAAUAAGGUAUUUAUAUUUAUAUAAAUAAUAAACCUUAUCAUCUAAAACAUAAGGUUUUACUAUAAAUACAGUACUUAAGCUAAAUAUCUGAAAGGAUAUAGCGAUAGAUAAAAUAGAUAAUAUAUAUAUAUAUAUUAAUAAUAAUAAACAUUAAUGUAAUUAACCUUUAUAAAAAUAGGGGCAAUAAUUAACUAGAAAAGUGAUGUUUAAAUAUAUACUGUAAUGUAAACCGACACUGGUAUGUGAGCUCGUAAUGGGUUAAGAUGAAUAAGUUAACUGUUUAUAAUGAACUCGGCAAAAAAUUCCUAGUGCUUAGGCCAUAGGAUAUUUAAUAUAUAUAAUAUAUAUAUUAAUGUAAAAUAUAGUAGUACGACUGUUUACUAAAAACACAGCACUAUGCAAAAACAAUAGUUAUAGUAUAUAGUGUGAGAACUGCUCCAUAGUGAUAUAUAAAAAUAUAGAUUAAAUAAUAUAUAUUUGAAACUAUUGCUAAAUAGCGGUCUUACUCUGAGGAUCAUAAUGUAGCGAAAUUCAUUGACCACUAAUUAUGGCCCUGCAUGAAUGACGUAACGAUACUACAACUGUAUCAUAAACAGACUUAGUGAAAUUG
rfam:Sugiyamaella lignohabitans strain CBS 10342 mitochondrion genome.